rnacentral:rRNA from 1 species
UGGGGAAUUUUGGACAAUGGGCGCAAGCCUGAUCCAGCCAUGCCGCGUGCGGGAAGAAGGCCUUCGGGUUGUAAACCGCUUUUGUCAGGGAAGAAAUCUUCUGAGUUAAUACCUCGGGAGGAUGACGGUACCUGAAGAAUAAGCACCGGCUAACUACGUGCCAGCAGCCGCGGUAAUACGUAGGGUGCAAGCGUUAAUCGGAAUUACUGGGCGUAAAGCGUGCGCAGGCGGUUUUGUAAGACAGAGGUGAAAUCCCCGGGCUCAACCUGGGAACUGCCUUUGUGACUGCAAGGCUUGAGUGCGGCAGAGGGGGGAUGGAAUUCCGCGUGUAGCAGUGAAAUGCGUAGAUAUGCGGAGGAACACCGAUGGCGAAGGCAAUCCCCUGGGCCUGCACUGACGCUCAUGCACGAAAGCGUGGGGAGCAAACAGGAUUAGAUACCCUGGUAGUCACGCCCUAAACGAUGUCAACUGGUUGUUGGGAAGGUUCCUUCUCAGUAACGUAGCUAACGCGUGAAGUUGACCGCCUGGGGAGUACGGCCGCAAGGUUGAAAC